rnacentral:rRNA from 1 species
CCUACGGGAGGCAGCAGUGGGGAAUCUUGCGCAAUGGGCGAAAGCCUGACGCAGCAACGCCGCGUGCGGGAAGAAGGCUUUCGGGCUGUAAACCGCUUUCAGCAGGAACGAAAAUGACGGUACCUGCAGAAGAAGGAGCGGCCAACUAUGUGCCAGCAGCCGCGGUGAUACAUAGGCUUCAAGCGUUGUCCGGAUUUAUUGGGCGUAAAGAGUUCGUAGGCGGUCGAGUAAGUCGGGUGUGAAAAUUCUGGGCUCAACCCAGAGACGCCACCCGAUACUGCUUGACUUGAGUUCGAUAGGGGAGUGGGGAAUUCCUAGUGUAGCGGUGAAAUGCGCAGAUAUUAGGAGGAACACCGGUGGCGAAGGCGCCACUCUGGAUCGAUACUGACGCUGAGGAACGAAAGCAUGGGUAGCAAACAGGAUUAGAUACCCUGGUAGUCCAUGCCGUAAACGGUGGGCACUAGGUGUGGGUUUCUAUUAACGAAAUCCGCGCCGUCGCUAACGCAUUAAGUGCCCCGCCUGGGGAGUACGGUCGCAAGACUAAAACUUAAAGGAAUUGACGG